rnacentral:rRNA from 1 species
UUUGUCGCGUCUGCUGUGAAAACCCGAGGCUCAACCUCGGGCCUGCAGUGGGUACGGGCAGACUAGAGUGCGGUAGGGGAGAUUGGAAUUCCUGGUGUAGCGGUGGAAUGCGCAGAUAUCAGGAGGAACACCAAUGGCGAAGGCAGAUCUCUGGGCCGUAACUGACGCUGAGGAGCGAAAGCAUGGGGAGCGAACAGGAUUAGAUACCCUGGUAGUCCAUGCCGUAAACGUUGGGAACUAGAUGUGGGGACCAUUCCACGGUCUCCGUGUCGCAGCUAACGCAUUAAGUUCCCCGCCUGGGGAGUACGGCCGCAAGGCUAAAACUCAAAGGAAUUGACGGGGGCCCGCACAAGCGGCGGAGCAUGCGGAUUAAUUCGAUGCAACGCGAAGAACCUUACCAAGGCUUGACAUAUAGAGGAAACGUCUGGAAACAGUCGCCCCGCAAGGUCUCUAUACAGGUGGUGCAUGGUUGUCGUCAGCUCGUGUCGUGAGAUGUUGGGUUAAGUCCCGCAACGAGCGCAACCCUCGUCCUAUGUUGCCAGCACGUAAUGGUGGGAACUCAUGGGAUACUGCCGGGGUCAACUCGGAGGAAGGUGGGGAUGACGUCAAAUCAUCAUGCCCCUUAUGUCUUGGGCUUCACGCAUGCUACAAUGGCCGGUACAAAGGGCUGCAAUACCGCAAGGUGGAGCGAAUCCCAAAAAGCCGGUCUCAGUUCGGAUUGAGGUCUGCAACUCGACCUCAUGAAGUCGGAGUCGCUAGUAAUCGCAGAUCAGCAACGCUGCGGUGAAUACGUUCCCGGGCCUUGUACACACCGCCCGUCAAGUCAUGAAAGUCGGUAACACCCGAAGCCAGUGGCCUAACCCGCAAGGGGAGGAG